rnacentral:rRNA from 1 species
ACGCACGCUGGCGGCGUGCUUAACACAUGCCCGUCGAACGGAAAGGCCCUGCUUUUGUGGGGUGCUCGAGUGGCGAACGGGUGAGUAACACGUGAGUAACCUGCCCUUGACUUUGGGAUAACUUCAGGAAACUGGGGCUAAUACCGGAUAGGAGCUCCUGCUGCAUGGUGGGGGUUGGAAAGUUUCGGCGGUUGGGGAUGGACUCGCGGCUUAUCAGCUUGUUGGUGGGGGAGUGGCUUACCAAGGCUUUGACGGGUAGCCGGCCUGAGAGGGUGACCGGCCACAUUGGGACUGAGAUACGGCCCAGACUCCUACGGGAGGCAGCAGUGGGGAAUAUUGCACAAUGGGCGGAAGCCUGAUGCAGCAACGCCGCGUGCGGGAUGACGGCCUUCGGGUUGUAAACCGCUUUCGCCUGUGACGAAGCGUGAGUGACGGUAAUGGGUAAAGAAGCACCGGCUAACUACGUG